AACAUCUGUUUAAAUUCUAUUAAAGUGCCUACAAAUUCCAUUAUAAUAGAGACACAGAACUGACUGUGCACUAUGAAAUAGAUAAUUCCAAUACAUAUAUAUUCAACAACAUACGUUGAAGCACACAGAUAAUUCCAAUAAGAAAAAACCAUCAGUAAUCCUGAAAUGCAAACAAACCUUCAUGAUCAAGGUUUUCAAAAAACCUUCUGCAGCCGUGAUUAAGACAACAAGAUUGAGGUUUCAUGGGUCUCCAAAUGCAACGGGCAUUGCACCAGCAUUGCGUUUGUAAUUUUCAGCAACGUUAAAAUAUCAUGACAAAAAUAUCCAAAAAAAUUUCCACAAAAUCACCAUAUAAUAUUAGUCCUAAGCUCAAAGAUAAUUUCUUAAUCAAUUUUUAACCGAAGAGCAAUCCAUCUCAUCUGAAGGUACAAAAAUCAGGCUAAAACAAUUGUUUAAUUAUUAUGUGACAUAAAAUAUUAAUCCAAAUCCUCAUCCACUUGAUCGUAACACUGAAAGCUAAAAUCAUUCCUCCAAAAUAUUAUAUUCAACAAAGGUUUUGAAAAACACCCU
rnacentral:lncRNA from 1 species